AAUAAAAAAAUGUAUAGGAUUUAGGAGUGUAUCAUUUUCUUUUUUUUUUUUUUUGUUUUUUUUGUUUUUUUUUUUUUUGUUU
rnacentral:ribozyme from 1 species